rnacentral:rRNA from 1 species
GUAGGGAGCAAGCGUUGUUCGGAAUUAUUGGGCGUAAAGAGCGCGUAGGCGGCCAGGUAAGUCUGGUGUGAAAUCCCACAGCUCAACUGUGGAACUGCAUUGGAAACUGCUUGGCUAGAGUGCGGGAGAGGAGAGUGGAAUUCCCAGUGUAGAGGUGAAAUUCGUAGAUAUUGGGAGGAACACCAGUGGCGAAGGCGGCUCUCUGGACCGCAACUGACGCUGAGGCGCGAAAGCUAGGGGAGCGAACGGGAUUAGAUACCCCGGUAGUCCUAGCCGUAAACGAUGGGCACUAGGUGUAGGAGGUAUCGACCCCUUCUGUGCCGUAGCUAACGCAUUAAGUGCCCCGCCUGGGGAGUACGGUCGCAAAGACUAA